rnacentral:rRNA from 1 species
UUAUUUUUAUUAAAUUAAAAUUAAUUAGUUAUUAAAUGUAUAAUCAUUAAAAAUAAAAAAUUUGGCGGUAUUUAAUAUUUAGAGGAACUUGUUUGUUAAAUUGAUAAUCCACGAAUAGAAAUACUUAAUUUGAUAAUUUUAUGUAUUGUUGUUGAAAAAUUGUAUUAAGAGGUAAAAAUUAAAAAAUUUAAUUUAAUUAUAAUUCAAAUCAAAAUGUAGAAUAAUUAAGAAUUUAAAUGAGUUACAAUUAAAUAAAUAAUUGAAUUUUAUAAUUUAAUUUAUAAAUGAAAAUGGAUU